rnacentral:rRNA from 1 species
CCUACGGGCGGCUGCAGUGGGGAAUAUUGGACAAUGGGGGGAACCCUGAUCCAGCCAUGCCGCGUGUGUGAAGAAGGCCCUCGGGUUGUAAAGCACUUUCAGUGAGGAAGAACGCCUGGUGGUUAAUACCCAUCAGGAAAGACAUCACUCACAGAAGAAGCACCGGCUAACUCCGUGCCAGCAGCCGCGGUAAUACGGAGGGUGCGAGCGUUAAUCGGAAUUACUGGGCGUAAAGCGCGCGUAGGUGGCUUGAUAAGCCGGUUGUGAAAGCCCCGGGCUCAACCUGGGAACGGCAUCCGGAACUGUCAAGCUAGAGUGCAGGAGAGGAGGGUAGAAUUCCCGGUGUAGCGGUGAAAUGCGUAGAGAUCGGGAGGAAUACCAGUGGCGAAGGCGGCCUUCUGGACUGACACUGACACUGAGGUGCGAAAGCGUGGGUAGCAAACAGGAUUAGAUACCCCAGUAGUC